GCUCCAGUGGCCUAGUAGUAGAGCGUCCGCCUCGGAUGCGGGAGGUCGCGGGUUCGAACCUCGGCCGAGUCA